AUUGGAGGGCAAGUCUGGUGCCAGCAGCCGCGGUAAUUCCAGCUCCAAAAGCGUAUAUUAAAAUUGUUGCAGUUAAAAAGCUCGUAGUUGAACCUUGGGCUUGGUUAGCCGGUCCGCCUUUUGGUGAGUACUGGAUCUAACCGAGCCUUUCCUUCUGGGUAACCUUUCUUUCGGGGAAGGCGAACCAGGACUUUUACUUUGAAAAAAUUAGAGUGUUCAAAGCACGCCUUUGCUCGAAUAUAUUAGCAUGGAAAUAAUAGAAUAGGACGUUAUGGUUCUAUUUUGUUGGUUUCUAGGACCAUCGUAAUGAUUAAUAGGGACGGACGGGGGUAUCAGUAUUCAGUUGUCAGAGGUGAAAUUCUUGGAUUUACUGAAGACUAACUACUGCGAAAGCAUUUACCAAGCAUGCUUUCAUAUCAGACGAAGUAGGGAUCGAGAUGAUCAGAUACCGUCGUAGUCUAACCAUAAACUAUGCCGACUAGGGAUCGG
rnacentral:rRNA from 1 species